CAUUUAACCUGGGGAUGAACACUUUUUUCCCACCAUGGGAAAGUGCCAUUCCCCAGGACAGGUGGCAGUUCCAACUGGUUGAAGAAUAAGAUAAAAUAAAAUAUAAAAUUAGUUUUUUAAUCCUUUUUUUAUUUUUCUAGUUUGCCUCCCCCAAUUACAAACUCUUUCCACCUUCAGUUCAUCUUGCUCUGGACGAAUAAAAAGGGAAAAUCCAACAGCUUACAUUAUAUCAUCUUCUUUGUUGAUUUUUUUAUUUUUAAUUCUUUCUACCUUCAUUCAACAGUUCAUCUUCUCCGUUGACUAUUUUAUCCCUCGACAAAUCCAAUGAAUCAAGCAAAAUCCAUCAGAUCUGUCACCGCAAGGAAGAAUGGAAUGCAGAAGCUUGAAUGGCAUAAGAACUUCUGGAAAAUACAAACAAGUCAAGUUUGAAGAACAGCUGUCUAGGGGCAACACCACAUAAUUGCUCGAAUUUUUU